UUCUUUUUGUUUGUUUUAAUGGACUUUCACAAUUUAUAUGUGGGUUUAGAGUAAUGUUAUUUUGGUUGAUAAAAUCUACGAAAAUUGACAUUUUUUUAAAAAAAAUUAAAAUAUUUUUCAGCCGAUAAAACAAAUCCUUAUUCUAAGAAAAAUAAUUUAGUUAUAUUAAAAAAUGUUUGGACGAUAAAACAUGAAAGACACAAGUUGAUGGCUAAUGUCUGCAUAGUUUUCAAUUUAUCCGACUAAUAUAACACAAAGGAUUGAGUAGUCUAAGUUGUUUAUUUGAGUGAGUAAUGAAUUAAUGGAAUGAGAGAAAAACUGAGGUCAAUAAACAAUGGUGUUGUUAAAGAAAGAAGUGAUUAGAUAGUUGCACAAAACAGUUUGGUGUAUACAAAGACUAAUUGUGAUUAAAAAUAUAUAUAUAUAUAUAUAUAUAUAUCUUUAUAUAUAAAGAAGAGUUUACUCCCUCCUGGUUAAGCCACGUAAGAUGCCACGUCAGAAACUUGACUCUUGACGGUGUGACACGUGUCAUCGUAAAUGAAAAAGCUUUGCUGAGCUUUGAUUUUCUUUUGGGCUUAUACGGUUUGAUUAUUUCUAGGUUUUGAAUAAUAUGCGUUGGCCUGAGAGACAAACAAAAACUUGGCCCAUUAUUUUUUUUUUCGAUAAAAUACUUGACCCGUUGUUUGCGUUCAUCUCCUUCUCGAGUAUAGGGUUAAUCGUCUCCCCCAUAAUCUGAUUUCGUCUACCAUCAACGGAGGUUCUGAAAGGUCGUGUGAGUCGAAACUUCCGUGACUGUUCAUGUCGUUUCGCUAACGAUUCGUCACCUCCUAACCGUUACAAGUUUGAUUGAUUCAUCACCAUUAGCGAUUUCUUAACUCUUUCGACCCACUACAGCCACGAUCCCUCAUUCAAUGACUCUUAUUCCUCUUGCAGUCGGUGAUUCUCCACUCUAUAAAAAGGUAAGCUUCAUCCAUAGCAUCAUCCUCACAAUUCCUAACAGCAAUAUAUUUUUUUUUCAUAAUGUUCAUUAGUGGUUCUGAGCAAAUUUUGCUUUGCUUAAGAUCAACUGAAUAUAUUUUGAUUUAUGGGGGAGGGAGCUUUCUCUCUCUCUGUUCUCUCUCUACACAUCUUUGAGAGAGAGAGAGAGAAAAUCAAUGUUUUGUGUUCUUCUGUUCCGUUUCGUCCUCUGAAUCGGAUUGUUUAUACCUUUAGUUAGUUUGAUGUUUUGGUUCCGGCCACAAAUUGAUCUUUACCGGAUAUAAAAUUCUAUCUAAAUCAGAUUCAGUUUUUAUUUUCAUUUUCAGAUUUCAGGAAAAAAUCCGAUAUGUGAUAUUUCAAUCCUUUGUUUGUUUGGUCGUCUUCUCAGAUUGUCUUGCGUGCAGGAAUAUAAUAUUUUCCGUCCUUUUUAGUGGGCCUAUUUAAUUAGGUAUGGGUGGAGCUUCCUCUGUAGAUUGAUAAUUUGAGAUGGAAAUCUUGAGUUCAGAGCUUCAUAAGCAUAUCUCAUGGUGGGCAACAACAAUGAAGAUUUGGCUUUAGCUGACUGAGAUGCUAAGGUUUUCCUGCUCAAAAAUGUUCACAAUGGCUGGUAAACUAGGUCUGCUUUGCAUGUCGGGACCAUGGCUCUUUCCAUUUUAGACAGAGAAUGAAUGAAGUGAGAGAGAAUGUCAUUUACAAGAACAGGAACACAUCAGUUUUCAUGCUCUCUUAAUCUGUCUGUGCAGGUCAUGUAUUCCUCAAUGUCAUAUCGGUGACACACUUCCCACAUUAAAGACACCAACUGCAGGCUCCGUAGAGCAAAGAGUGGUUCCUCUGCCACAUCUUCCAAGUAUGGUGAUGUUAAGAAAAUUGAAUCCGUCACAUUAUCUGAAAUUAAUAGCUACGUUCUCAACUCAUCCCUAGUGGUGAAACGCAGUGUUCGGUUCACACAAACGUGCAUCUGAUGCUGUUCCAGUUAUUGAAGGACGUCCAGCCAGCACAGACCCAUAGCCUACGCAUACUAAUUCAGUCAUAACCUCCACCGAGACUCCUAUUGAUGAUGAAAAAGGCCCCAAGUUCAAAGAAAACUAGCAAACACUGAGCACUCCAACUAUGGGUUAUUUGGGUUUUGAUUAUUUAGAAUUAUUAUUGAAUCAAUACCAUUAAAAGAGGAUCAUUCUCAAAUUAUAUCCUUAAUGAAAAUUGCAGUUUUCUCAAAAAUACCCUUAUUUUUACAAAGAAUUAAUAAAAUUCAUUAAUGGCAUUUAAGUCUUUUGGUUUUGGGCCUACAGAUACACCUAAAUGGAUCUAUAAAUAAUAGGCCUAUAUAUAUAUUUAAAAUAUAUAUUAAUUUUAAAUUUAAUAUAAGUAUAAAUAUAUUAUGAACAAUAAAUGAAUUAAAAAACAUGAAAA